GUUCAAGCUGGCGCUGUGCUAAUGCCUCUCGCCAUGAUUUGCUUUCGCUCAAAAGUAUAGAAGAGAAAGUAUAGAAGAGGAAAAAGUGUAUAAAAUAAUCUGUCUAAAACUGACUUGCAAUUGUAUAAUUAUGGUAUCAUUGUUGUGUUUUGUGGCUGCUUAUACCAGGACCUCAAGGAUCUAGGAAGCAACAAAGAAGAAGAUUUUGUUUUCAAUUAAUUAUAAGCGGAAGUGCAUAAUUAUUUCAUAAAGUUAGCUUAUUUAUAUAAAGCCACUGAGAAGAAAAGACUUAUUACAUGCAUCUAUUGUUGUAUUAUGUGGCUUUAAUACCAGGACCUCAAGAAAGAAGAAAAUUGGAUCUGUAGUUCAUGCAGUGUAUAAUUAUAAUAUUUAAGAAGAAAAGACUUGUGUACAUACAUAUUGUUAUCUAUAGUAGUGUUUUGUGGCUUACCAGGCCCUCAAGAAAAAUAUGAUUCUGCCAGGAGGAUCUGGAUCUGGGGAAUGAGCGCGCAUGCGCAUUACAUCCAUAGGAAUAAUUAAAGGGUGUGUCCAAAGAGAUCAAUUUCACAAAUGGCUACUGCUAGCUAGCUGUUUUAACAGGUAUUUUCUGAGUCUUGUAGCUAACAAAAAGCUAGCGCUUUAGUGCAAGGCUAACUCAUAUGUUGAAUAGAAAGUUUGUGCGGACAGAUGAUGCUAUGAAAGAUUCUGAAGAGACUGCAACAGCCUUCAAUAAUGUAUGCCUGAGACACAUCUUGUAGCCGUACUUUCCCGUAUGAAACGGAAGUGGCUGGUGAAAACGUCCAAUCGAAUAUCGAGAAGAAGCUAGCCGGCACAGAAGAGGUGGACUCAGAUGCAACUGAAAGCUACUACGGCAGCGAUGUUGAGGAGUGUGUGGAAGCUGUGACAAGUGUGAGGGAUGUGGAGGCUGUGAAGGCUGUGAAAGAUGUGACGAGUGCAUGUGAGGAUGUGGAGACUGUGGAGUGCCCUACGUGUGGUGUGAAGCUGCCGCAGUAUGCCAUUGAGGUGCAUGCCAGCACUUGUGGAGAUGAACACACUUCAGUAGCUAGUGUGGGACCGAUAUGGAUUGACUGACAUUUGAGUGUGCAUGUGUGUAUGUCCACUUAUGUUCAUGCACCUUUUCACGUCUAUAGUUUGCUCUCUAUCUGUCUAAUUUAAACUACGUGAUCUAUGAAUCCAACCCAAUAUAUAAAUCGUUACAUUA